CUUCUGCUUCAGCUGAGUUUGCUUUGGGGGUAGGAAGAAGAGGGUUUCUGAGCCCUUUGGGGGAUUAGUGACUACAGAGUGAUGGAGGAGCUGGUGGCUGGUGUGGAGAGGAUCUGGUUUGAUGCAGAGGCUGACACAGAGCAGCAGCAAGGAGCCCAGCUCCUGCCCUUCCCAGAGCUGUGUGUAAGAUCUUCACCCAAGGGCUCUGCACCAGAGCCUCAAGGCCGGGUUGAUGAUGCACACCACAGAUCACAGCAAAGGGAGCAGAAUGUCCUCAGAAGAUAGGCAUGGUUAGGACCUGCUGCCAGGGGGGAGAGGGGAUGCAAAGAUGUGUCACCUGCAGAGCCCCAGCUGCUAGUCACCAGCACCACCCAGUCCCUGGCAGUGCAGCCCAGGAACCCCAGCAAUGGUUCCAUCAUCCUACAGUGCCCACCAGAACCAGGCAUCUGCUUUGAGUGCAGACAGAAAGGUCACUAUGCUGGCAAGUGUGGGAAGAACCAAAUGGAAAUCCUGCUGAGGAAAUGAGCGCUCACAGGGAAAGCAGAAGGAAGACAGAGGGAGAUGUACAACAUGAUGGAGCCAGACAGGCCACCAGGACAGCUGCUGGACUAGAAAAGCCUGUUGGCUAUGCUCAACACUUGCUCUUACAGCUAUGUGCCUGAGCAGCAAAAGAGAAAUCACAUCUUCCUCAAUGGAAUUCACUAUUCCCACAGCAGUCACUGCCUCCAUCCCCUCCUGCACAGCUGGAAUGCGGCUACGCUUGGACUGGUGCAGCAGGGAGAUGGCACCAGGAGA